rnacentral:tRNA from 1 species
GGGUGCGUAACUCAGGGGAUAGAGUAGCGGACUUCUAAUCCGUUUGUCGGAGGUUCGAAUCCUCCCGCACCCG